rnacentral:rRNA from 1 species
GAACGCUGGCGGUAUGCUUAACACAUGCAAGUCGAACGGUAGAAUUCUAGCUUGCUAGGAUUUGAGAGUGGCGGACGGGUGAGUAACGCGUAGGAAUCUGUCUAUUAGUCUGGGACAACUCGGGGAAACUCGAGCUAAUACUAGAUAAGUUCUAAGGAAGAAAGGCUGGAGCUUGCUCCAGUCGCUAAUGGGUGAGCCUGCGUUGGAUUAGCUUGUUGGUGGGGUAAAGGCCUACCAAGGCGACGAUCCAUAGCUGUUCUGAGAGGAAGAUCAGCCACACUGGGACUGAGACACGGCCCAGACUCCUACGGGAGGCAGCAGUGGGGAAUAUUGGACAAUGGGGGCAACCCUGAUCCAGCAAUACCGCGUGUGUGAAGAAGGCCUGAGGGUUGUAAAGCACUUUCAGCGAGGAGGAAGGCUACUAUGUUAAUAGCAUAGUGGAUUGACGUUACUCGCAGAAGAAGCACCGGCUAACUCUGUG